rfam:Triticum aestivum genome assembly, contig: Triticum_aestivum_CS42_TGACv1_scaffold_569282_7AS
CAUGUACUCCCUCCUCCGAAAAUACUUGUCAUCAAAAUGGAUAAAGGAAGAUGUAUCUCGAACUAAAAUACAUCUAGACACAUCACUUUUUAUUAUUUUGAUAACAAGUACUUUUGGACGGAGGGAGUAUUUG